rnacentral:misc_RNA from 1 species
UUUCCGUAGGUGAACCUGCGGAAGGAUCAUUAUUGUAUAACCGAGGUGCGAGGGCUGUCGCUGACCCGAAAGGUCGUGCACGCCCGAGUGCCCUCACACACAUCCAUCUCACCCCUAUGUGCACCACCUCAUGGUUCCCCCUUUGGCUUGUUCGGAGGGGGGCUUACGUUUUCACACAAACUUUGUAUGCAGUGUAGAAUGUAUUUUUUGUUUUUGCGAUCACGCAAUCAAUACAACUUUCAACAACGGAUCUCUUGGCUCUC